AUACGUAGGGAGCGAGCGUUGUCCGGAAUUACUGGGGGUAAAGGGAGCGUAGGCGGGAGGGCAAGUCAGAUGUGAAAUACAUGGGCUCAACCCAUGGGCUGCAUUUGAAACUGCAUUUCUUGAGUGAAGUAGAGGUAAGCGGAAUUCCUGGUGUAGCGGUGAAAUGCGUAGAUAUCAGGAGGAACACCGGUGGCGAAGGCGGCUUACUGGGCUUUUACUGACGCUGAGGCUCGAAAGCGUGGGGAGCAAACAGGAUUAGAUACCCUGGUAGUCCACGCUGUAAACGAUGAUUACUAGGUGUGGGGGGACUGACCCCUUCCGUGCCGCAGUUAACACAAUAAGUAAUCCACCUGGGGAGUACGGCCGCAAGGUUGAAACUCAAAUGAAUUGACGGGG
rnacentral:rRNA from 1 species